rnacentral:misc_RNA from 1 species
CAGAGUGAGCAACAGCCCAAUAUGCGAAUGGGUGAAACGAACUUUGGUGCUGCGUCCUAGGAAGCUCAUGGUUUAUUCAACACGAGCCACGACGAGCGAGUGAUCGGCAUUCUAACGACAGGCCCGAAGCCGAUAUUUCUUCAAUGCGACAACAAAUUACAGAAGCACCGAGAAAGCUGUUCGAGCGCAUUGACAGCCUCGCAAAUUCAUGCAAGAGCAAAAGAAGGGAAACCGAUCUAUGCUGCAAAUAGCGGGCCCAUUAUUCGCAAACCCUUCUAAUCCGGCAAGCACAGCGUGUCGGCUUAUUUUUGGAGACACCCGGAAGCGCCCUGUAUCGGGGCUUGGCGUUUCACAUCGCCCCGUUGUGGCGCCUUUGGUUACACAUUUCGAAACACCGGUAACGUUCGGAAGCGUCUGACGACGAAGAUCGAUAUUUAUUCGCAGA